ACGUUGAUCAUGCGAUCUGAACAUCACAGAGCAAGCUCUAGAGCCAGAAGUGAGUCUCUGCUCCACCCCUUCCUUGGACAGCUGGCUCAGCCUUGGCCUCAGUUUGCUUGUCUGCAAAAUGGGGUGAUGGUACUAGUUAACUACGUCCCAGGUCGUGGUGGGGAGUGAAGGCAACGGUGUGUGAAAAGCACUUAGAACAGUGCCUGGACACAGUGCUGGAUACACCUGUGCUACUUCAUCACACCUGUGUUACAGAAGAGCCUAUCAAGGGCGCGGAGAGGUCUAGCAACAAGCUGCGGGACACAGAGCAAUCGAGUGGCAGACACCCAGCCAAGCCUAAAGGCAGUGGGC